rnacentral:lncRNA from 1 species
CUCGAACUCCUGACCUCAAGUGACCCGCCCGCCUUGUCCUCGAAUAGUGCUGGGAUUACAGGUGCGACCCACCACACCCGGCUGCAAUGUUUGUUUUAAUUACUUUUGGCAAGUAUUUCCUGAGUACCCCGAGCGUGCCAGGUGAAGAGAGACGGAUAAUAACAGCGCUAGCCAGCACGUAUUAAGCCUUGCAAAGCUGCACGGGCAUGAACUUGUGGCUUCAACACAACCUUAUGAGGCCCACCACAGCUGCCAAACAUGAGGUGAUGGGACAGCCCUCGUGGCCUCCACCCACCGCCCUGGUGGAGAAGUGAAACAUGAACCCACCAGUGCAAGACAGAGGAAGAGGCACCAGCGAAGUCACACUAGGGAGAAUCCACAUCAGCCUGGCCAUGCAGGGGAGGCCUCACGAAGCCCUGGGAAGCCAGAGGUGAGUCAGAAGGGAUGGUAAGGCGAAUAGCUCUGAAACCGGAACCCUGGCAUAGAGCUGGGGGCAGGAAGGUUCACCGAAGGUAAUGGUGCUUGCUUUAAAAUUCAAGGGGCCCAAGGGAGCAUCAUCUUUCAGGAAGGCACCACUAGUUGAUAAGAGGCCAAGUGUGCCUCAAGCUCCAGGUACCUGAGGUUGCUGCGCUAGCAUGGCCUGUGAAAGAUGCCAAAGGUGGACUUUAUUUUAUAACUCCUCUUCUUAUCCUCCUCCCCAUGACUGGGCACAACCGUAAGGGCCAUAAGAACUUACCCUCUGUGGCCUCUACUUUUGCUUAUAUGAGCAGGGGGAGGUGGAGCGAGACCAGGUGGGCACCUUGAGGGACCCUCAUUUGGCUGAACUGCAGCAACUCAACCUGCCCCAAAGGAAUUCCAGCCCCCUUGCUUCCUAGGGACCCUUGGGAAUACCUCGUAGGCAGCCGAAUCCCAAAGGGAAAAAUGAAGGUCUCCCCAAACCCAGCCCAGGACAAGGGCCAAGCUGGAAAAAAUGACUUGGAGGCCAGUCACCACGUUUUUCCCCAGUGAAAGGCUGACUCAUUGCAACAGGCCUGGGCUGGCUGGGACUUGAGCCGGUGGCUUGGAACAUGCUGGGACAGUGAGCGCCUUGUCUGAAAGGCAGACUGUGAGAAGCCACGGGUCAGGGGAGCUGAGGCCACUGCCCUAAGAAACACCCCUCACACAGCCACGUGAGCCCCAGGGGAAGCAGGGGCCAGGUGGGUGUCCAUGCUGCCUCCCACUCAGACUCUGGAGAGCUAGCGUCACCUUGCUGGAUAAGGUCUAGAGAGGCUCUAAGCCCCAGGGCAAUUAAGCCCUAAGGUCCUGAGACAUGAGCAUUUUGAUCCUUCCUCCCCAUACGAAGUGCAAACUGAAAACACAAAGCUUAAAAUAAAUUUAGAGAAACCCCAAUAAGCCCUUGAUUUUAAUCAUAAGAUGAUCUCCAUGUUUUUCUUUGAAAUAUCAAAAAGAAAUUAUUUUCCAAUUUUGGGGAGAUGGAAGGAAGCUGGGGCUGCUUUCCCAGUGUUUUCAGCACACACUAGGUCUACCUAAUGGGUAAUUCAGCAGUGUGCACAGAGUGGGAAGCUUAUCUCUGACCCUCUUCCCUCCUCAUGCCUCUGUCCAUUUUGACAUCCUGGGCUCUUUCAGCAAGGACUUUUGAGUCAUAUGUUGAGUUAAAUCCUGUCUGUGCCAUCUGCUUGCUGUGUGACCUUGGGUGAGUCACUUAAUCUCACUGAGUCUCAAUUUCUGUAAAUGUAAAAAUGGAGAUUGCACCAGAUAAUGUAUGCAUAGUGCCUAGUACAGUACUUAGCACACAGUCUGAUAUAUAUAUAUAUAUCAGAGAGAUCUCAUACACACAGACAUAUAUAUAUGUGUGUGUGUAUAUAUAUGUGUGUGUGUGUGUGUGUGUGUAUGAGAUCUCUUUCAGCUUUUCCCUCUACAAAGCAUCUUUCAGGAAAUAAUGUUAUGUCAGUUACUUACACUUUAGAGUGAAUAUGUUCCUAUAAAUGUCAUUCUUUCUUUUCAUUUAUUUUUUUAUUUUCUUUUAUUUUUAAAUUAAAUUAAAGUUUUAUUUUGAGAUGGGGCCUCACUCUGUCACCUUGGCUGGAGUACAGUGGCGUGGUCAUGGCUCACUGCAGGCUAAGAUCCUCCCACCUUAGCCUCCUGAGUAGCUGGGACUACAGGUCCGUAUCACCAUGACUGGCUAAUGUUUUAAUUUUUAUUUGUAGAGACAGAGUUUUUGCUAUGUUGCCCAGGCUCCUUUCAUUCAUUUAAUCAGCAAAUGCUUGAGCACCUACCACAUACCUGACUGUAGCUAGAUGCUGUAUAUUCUACAUAAGGAUUUCUUUUCAUCCUCACGGCAAUCUCUACAAGAUCACUAAUAUCCCCAUUUGAUGGAUAAGGAAACAGAUUCAGGAAGGUGAAAGAACUUUCCCAAGGUCACACAGCAGAGUCUAGAUUCACUUGUUCAUUCAGGAAACACUGACUGAAUUUCAGCUUUGUUUCAAGCUAGGCACUGGGAGCGCUGCAGUGAAUGAGUUAGAGCCCCCAUCCCAGGACCCUCACAGCCUAUUGAGUGUCUUUGCACCUGUUUUGAAACUUUUGUCAUCUCUCUAAUUGUUAAGGUCCUUGUUAAAAGCUCCUAUGUGCAUGUGGGUAGGGAGAGCUUUCUCUAGAUCUUCCACUCACCCUUUGAAGGGAGUUGCCUUCUUCCCAGGGUGUAGGGCUGGCCCUGCCCAGGGCUGAGCUGGCAAAACCAAAAAAGCAUCCUGCCUCUCCUUUCCACAUCAUCCCCUGGGACUGCUGGAUACAGAUGUCCAUGACAACCUUGAACUCCAUUCUUGUCCCCCACUCCACUUAUUCUGUUGCACUUCAUGAUCUAUAUUACAGAAAUACCAUGUUCAUUGUAAAAUAAAAAAAAAAGAAAAUAUAGAAAAGCAAAAAUUCUUAAAGGAACAAUAACCAAUAAUUCUAAAUCCUGCUAAGGUGGUUAAAAUUUUAUUGUAUUGCCUGCCAGACCUUUUUCCUCUGUAACUAUAAUACAAUUACUAAAAAAUAAUAACAAUAACACUAAUUUUAGCUAACCCUGACAUGGAGCUUUCUCUGUGCUAGACACUGUUCUAAGCAUCUUAGACAUUGAAACUCAUUUAAUCCUCACAACUCAGUAGGCCAAUUACUAUUGUCCUCAUUUUACAGUUGUUCAAAGUGAGGCAGAGAGAACAUUUAGAAGCACACAUAUUAUUCUUUUUCAAAAAUGGGAUAAGUCUGAACAUACUAUUUUGUGGCCUACUUUUCCUCCCUUUACAACAAAUAAACAAUAAUCAAUUUACUUUCCUAACAUAAUUUUUCAUGACUAUUUAGCAUUCCAGCACUUGCACAUACUGUAAGUUACUCAACCAGUCUCCUUCUCAGCCAUCUUUCUGAUUUCCUUAUUCUCUCCUUCCCUCUGUCCCUCCCUUCUUUCCUCCUUGUUUGUUUUACCUAUGAAUGGCACAGGACGUCCAAUCUUGUAGCUUAGUCUUUGAAAACCUGUUUAAUAACUUCUUGGCUGUGCAUGGUGGCUCGGGCCUAUAAUCCCAGCACUUUGGGAGGCCAAGACAAGAGGAUUGCUUGAGGUCAGGAGCUGGAGACCAGCCUGGUCAACAUAGCAAAACCCUGUCUCUAUUUUUUAUUUAAAAAUUAAUUAAUUUUAAAAAUCGUAUUUAGGAUAACUCCUAGAAGUGGAAUCAUUUGGUCUCAAGAUAUACAUAUUCUAAGCUUUCCGACAUCUCUUGCAAAUGCCUCCAAGACAGGCAACAACGUUGGGUUCUAAAGGAGUAUGACCUGUGUCCCACGGAAUGAUACCCAUCAGAAUGACAGAUGCUCAUGACAUUGACCCAGCAAUUCCAUGUGGGAGUUUACCCCAUAAAUACUGUUAUACGCUUGCAAAAUGACCUGUGUAUAAAAUUACUCAUUGCAACCCUGCUGGUGAUAGCAAAAGAUAAAAAAUAAUCCAGAUGUUCAUAAUAGGGAACUAGUCAAGUAAAUUAUAGGACAUCUAUACAAUGAGAUACGCACAGUUGUGAAAAAGAAUUAAAAGCCUUUCUAUGUAUUCACGUGGACAGCUCCUCAAGACAUACUAAGUGCAGAAGAGUGUGAACAGCAUGCUAUUUUUGUGUGGAAAAAGGGGACAAAUGACAGCCCACAUCCAUAUUUAUAUGCACAUGCCUAAAUAAACUCUAUUUUAAAAAACAUUAUUAUUAUUUUUUGAGACAGGAUCUCACUCUGUCACCCAGGCUGGAGUGCAGUAGCAACGAUCAUGGCUCACUGCAACCUAGGCUCAAACUAUCCUCCCACCUCAGCCUCCUGAGUAGCUGGGGUUACAGGCAUGCACCACCACACCCUCGUAAGUUUUUAAUCGUUUGUGGAGAUGGGAUCUUGCCAUGUUGCCCAGACUGGUCUUGAACUCUUGGGCUCAAGUGAUCCUCCCACCUUGGCCUUCCAAAGUGCUGAGAAUACAGGUAUGAACCAACAUGCCUGGCCAAUAAACUCUAAAGUAGUUAAAAUAGUGCCUACUUGCCUGCUUGUGGGUGAGUUUGGUGAAGGCAUAGAGACCAGGAUGAUGGAUAGGGACAGGGAACAAUUUCUUUUUUCAGAUCACUUUUUUUUUUUUUUCUUUUUUGAGACGGAGUCUUGCUCUCACCCAGGCUGGAGUGUAAUGGCGCGAUCUCGGCUCACUGCAACCUCCUCCUCUCGGGUUCAACUGAUUCUCCUGCCU